ACGGAGGGUGCAAGCGUUGUUCGGAAUUACUGGGCGUAAAGGGCGCGUAGGCGGCCUGAUAAGUCAGAUGUGAAAGUCCACGGCUCAACCGUGGAAGUGCAUUUGAAACUGUCAGGCUUGAGUAUCGGAGGGGAGUGUGGAAUUCCCGGUGUAGAGGUGAAAUUCGUAGAGAUCGGGAGGAACACCGGUGGCGAAGGCGACACUCUGGACGAAUACUGACGCUGAGGCGCGAAAGCGUGGGGAGCAAACAGG
rnacentral:rRNA from 1 species